UACGUAGGGGGCGAGCGUUAUCCGGAUUUAUUGGGCGUAAAGCGUGCGUAGGCGGUUUGUUAAGUCCAGGAUUAAAGCCCGAGGCUUAACCUCGGUUCGUUCUGGAAACUGGCAGACUAGAGUAUGGUAGAGGCAAAUGGAAUUCCUAGUGUAGCGGUGAAAUGCGUAGAUAUUAGGAGGAACACCAGUGGCGAAGGCGAUUUGCUGGGCCAUCACUGACGCUGAGGUACGAAAGCGUGGGGAGCAAAUAGG
rnacentral:rRNA from 1 species